CGAACGCUGGCGGCGUGCUUACCACAUGCAAGUCGAACGGAAAGGCCUCUUUCGGGGGGUACUCGAGUGGCGAACGGGUGAGUAACACGUGAGUAACCUGCCCUUGACUUUGGGAUAACUUCAGGAAACUGGGGCUAAUACCGGAUAGGAGCUCCUGCUGCAUGGUGGGGGUUGGAAAGUUUCGGCGGUUGGGGAUGGACUCGCGGCUUAUCAGCUUGUUGGUGGGGUAGUGGCUUACCAAGGCUUUGACGGGUAGCCGGCCUGAGAGGGUGACCGGCCACAUUGGGACUGAGAUACGGCCCAGACUCCUACGGGAGGCAGCAGUGGGGAAUAUUGCACAAUGGGUGGAAGCCUGAUGCAGCAACGCCGUGUGCGGGAUGACGGCCUUCGGGUUGUAAACCGCUUUCGCUCAUGACGAAGCUUUGUGUGACGGUAGUGGGUAAAGAAGCACCGGCUAACUACGUG
rnacentral:rRNA from 1 species